UGUUUCGGCUAGGGGGUCAUCCCGACUUACCAACCCGAUGCAAACUACGAAUACCGAAGAAUGUUAUCACGGGAGACACACGGCGGGUGCUAACGUCCGUCGUGAAGAGGGAAACAACCCAGACCGCCAGCUAAGGUCCCAAAGUCAUGGUUAAGUGGGAAACGAUGUGGGAAGGCCCAGACAGCCAGGAUGUUGGCUUAGAAGCAGCCAUCAUUUAAAGAAAGCGUAAUAGCUCACUGGUCGAGUCGGCCUGCGCGGAAGAUGUAACGGGGCUAAACCAUGCA
rnacentral:rRNA from 1 species